CAAAAUUAUUAGCUGCAGUGCUUGACCCUCCUUUUUACAAGUGAAUCAGCGUACAAAACUACCUUUUGGCCACAAUUACCUCGAAAAGAAACCCGAAUCACAAUGUUCAAGAAAUUCAAAAGAUAACUGAGCUAUUGAAAGAUCGCUGUUGUUUUCAUCUUUGAGAUGUGAUCUCGACGACAUAGCGCGCGAUCUGAGGAGACGUUGAAUGCUGUGAAAUUGAACUAAAAUGAGCAGAAAAGAAAAACUGUUGAAAUCUUGAACUCAAGACGAAUCAGAGGUCGAACUGAUGAACGCUAGCACACCAACACAGGGUAGUCGUCGACCAAUGGACAGGAACGAGGAUACAGCUGCUGUGGUAUUCUUUUCUUUCUCUCUUUCAUUUUUAACUGAUAUAUUCGUUUAAUUUCACUUAUUACUAAUAACUAAUGACUCACUCAUAUCACAACAUUCAUGUAAUUAUCACUAACCCAACUAACCACUGAUAAGUUUCCAGGACUUAGCAACGUUGUUAAAAGUUUGCUGAACUAAAUCAAAAUUAUUGUAAAUCGUGAAUUAAUUGUUUAGUUGAUU